AAUAAGCGCAGUUUUGCACGGUUCAUGUCUAACAUUUGACUGUUUAUCUUAUUUGAAAUUAUUUUAUGAUUAGUAUUUGUAUUGUUAUUAGAUGAUAAAAUAUGAAUAGUAUUUUAUGUGUGACUAAUUUUUUAAAUUCUUCAUAAAUUUUUUAAAUAAGACGGACGAUCAAAUGUUGGACAUGGAUAAUCACGGCAUUGCACUUAUU
rfam:Oryza glumipatula chromosome 8, whole genome shotgun sequence.